rnacentral:lncRNA from 1 species
CUCUCUCUCUCUCUCUAAGAGUUCUGAAAUUCAAAAUUGGUCUGGGCUCCGGUGCGGCAACCACCGCAAGGUAAAACCCUCAAGCCUUCCCUAAAGUAGUCUGGGGUUCACAUCCAAAACCAAUUGGCAAUGGGUGGAGUGGCCCAAACCCUUAUUAACCCACAGGUAAGGUCCCAUAUUCCCGAUGUGGGAUAUAUAUCUCAACACGCCCCCGCACGUGUGGCGAAUCUUUAAGCCUAACACGUGGACAACAUUUGGGUGACGUAGAGUUUGUGUGGCCAUUGGGCUUCACACGUGGACGUGGGUAACCCGCUCUGAUACCAUGAUAAAAUAGUCUGGGGUUCAAAUCCAAAAUCAAUUGGCAAUGGGUGGAGUGGCCCAAACCCUUAUUAACCCACAGGUAAGGUCCCAUAUUCUCGAUGUGGGAUAUAUAUCUCAACAAAUUUCAUAUCUCGGUUUUUUAUUUUGGUUUUCGUUGAUUCAAUUUCAGAUAUAUGCGCGACUUUGGGUGGGUCUCGGAUGGUGUGGGUUUCAUAUGGGUGUUGCCAUUUGAUCAAGGUGUCCUAGAGUUCCUUUCUUAGAGCAAUUGCACCAGGCGACUGAUUGGAUGACCAAUCAAUGAAAAUGAAGAAAAGAAAGAAUGCAGCGGUAUGGAAUCAGUCGACCAAUUGAUGGGUCCCACUAAGUCGACCAAUUCAAUGACCAAAAAUUGGCAACUCUAUUGCCCGACCGAUUAUAUGGCUCCCACACUCACGUGGGCUUCUACCAAAGGUUAGGAUUGAUUGUUAUAAAUCUAACAGUCAUUAUUCAAAUGAGAUUCUAAUUUUAAAAGCCAAAUAAUAUAUUGGCAUUAGAGUUGCAUUUUAUUGGUACACUGUGCAUUACAAAACUGAAUGUAAUUGCUAAUAUCUGAUGAAUAGUAGAUUGACAUGUACCAAUUUUGUUAGCAAAUUAGCAAUUGCCCUUGGUUCAUGUGUGCAACUGCUCUUAUAGGAGAGUUGGUGGUAUUUAACUGGACUUGGUGGCAUUUACUGUUGGCUUAGUUCUUUUUCUCACAUUGGAGCCAUUGGGAAGGAGUUUCAUGAUUCUGCAAUCUGCAACAAAGUUCUGGCUGAGAUUUCAUAACUGGGAAUUGGAUAUAACACAUAGUCGGAUACAAUAUGAUUGAAAGGGGCAAUUGCCUUCCUAAUGUUUUUACUUUCAAUUCUUUCUU